AUUGAACGCUGGCGGCAUGCCUAACACAUGCAAGUCGAACGGCAGCACAGUAUGUAGCAAUACAUAUGGGUGGCGAGUGGCGGACGGGUGAGUAACGCGUGGGAAUCUGCCCUAUAGUGGGGGACAACCCGACGAAAGUCGGGCUAAUACCGCAUACGCCUACCGGGGAAAGGACGUUCGGCCGCUAUUGGAUGAGCCCGCGUCGGAUUAGCUAGUUGGUGAGGUAAUGGCUCACCAAGCGACGAUCCGUAGCUGGUCUGAGAGGACGAUCAGCCACACUGGGACUGAGACACGGCCCAGACUCCUACGGGAGCAGCAGUGGGGAAUAUUGCACAAAUGGCGAAAGUCUGAUGCAGCAAU
rnacentral:rRNA from 1 species